rnacentral:misc_RNA from 1 species
AGUUUAAAGAUGUGUUACAUCGGAUUACAUUCAGAUUUAAUUUUAUUAGAUUUUAUGUAUUGACAGACGGAGCUCGCACCCCCAAUAAAGAGGGAACUACUAUCCGUCUCACAGGUUCACAGGUGUGUGUGGAUGAAUGGAGAAGGCGUGCACAUGCCCCCAGUAAAGUGGGCCAGCGACAACGAUCCCCAUGUUCAUUCAAUAAUGAUCCUUCCGCAGGUUCACCUACGGAAA